GCGGGAAUUCGAUUAGAGUUUGAUCAUGGCUCAGGACAAACGCUGGCGGCGUGCCUCAUACAUGCAAGUCGAGCGAGAAAGGGGCUUCGGCCCCGAGUAGAGCGGCGAACGGGUGAGUAACACGUGGGCAACCUGCCUCGAGGACUGGGAUAACCCCGGGAAACCGGGGCUAAUACCGGACGAUGUCGUCUCGCACAAGCGAGCCGACCAAAGGGUAGCUUCGGCCUCUGCCUUGAGAUGGGCCCGCGUCCUAUCAGCUUGUUGGUGAGGUAACAGCUCACCAAGGCUAUGACGGGUAGCUGGUCUGAGAGGAUGAUCAGCCACACUGGGACUGAGAUACGGCCCAGACUCCUACGGGAGGCAGCAGUAGGGAAUCUUGCGCAAUGGGCGCAAGCCUGAUGCAGCGACGCCGCGUGAGGGAUGAAGGCCUUCGGGUUGUAAACCUCUUUCAGGAGGGACGAAGCGCAAGUGACGGUACCUCCAGAAGAAGCCCCGGCCAACUACGUGCCAGCAGCCGCGGUAAUACGUAGGGGGCGAGCGUUGUCCGGAUUCAUUGGGCGUAAAGAGCUCGUAGGCGGCUCAGUAAGUCGGCCGUGAAAGCCCAGGGCUCAACCCUGGGACGCCGGUCGAUACUGCUGUGGCUAGGGUCCGGUAGAGGAGAGUGGAAUUCCCGGUGUAGCGGUGAAAUGCGCAGAUAUCGGGAGGAACACCAGUAGCGAAGGCGGCUCUCUGGGCCGGUACCGACGCUGAGGAGCGAAAGCUAGGGGAGCAAACAGGAUUAGAUACCCUGGUAGUCCUAGCCGUAAACG
rnacentral:rRNA from 1 species